CAAAAUAGGAUAAAAGUUUUCAAUGAUUGAACAUAAGAAUGUUAAAAAUAUUAAAUUUGUUUUUACCUGACAAAACAUUGAGAUUAUUUUCAAACAUGCAAGUUUCUUUUGUUUUUUUGACAUGCAAAUAUGAUAGAAAUUACUUUUUCUGAUAAGCACUCACAUUUUGAAAAUUGAGAUUGAAAAUGGGGAAUGUGUCAAAGAGAGAACUAUCCGACCAAAGAGCAUAAUGUAUAUUUAUGUAUAUGUUCGACUUCUUGCAUUCACAGAGUUUUCUCAAGAAGAGAGAUCUUCUAUUUUAUUGAAACAUUACAUAAGACAUGAAACAAUCCACAGUCUAUUGUACAUUUUAGUGUAGAAGUAUGUUUGUAUAUAUACAGGUAUAUUUAAGUUAUUGUGGCUAGUGCUAUAAGUAUGCAUAAUGAUAACUCUGUGCAAUAAAAUUUUAUUUAUAUUUGUAUUUAAUACAUAGUUCAUGUAUAUUUAGGGAGAAUAUUUGACAUUUAUGCAUGCAAAAAAUGAAUAUUUCUUAGGUAAAUAGUCCUUGAGAAAGAAUUGACAUUCACAGAUUUUCAAAGAUUAUCAGAUAUUUGUUGUAAUUUUCUUUUUGGUAAAUAUACAACAUGAGAUUUGAGUUUUAGAGGAGAAAAGACAGAACCAUGACUAUGAGCACAAUACUUUAGAUAAGAUGAGGAACAAAACAUUAUGUUAUUGAUAGAAGUUGUUAUAUUAUACAUUCCAAGUCACGCUAGGUCUUGGUUUCUGUGUUGCUGUUGUUACAUAUUUGAUAUACAUUUUUAGAAUAAACUGUGAUAUGUGUUAUUGUUUUCUUUAAAUGUGUUUUUGUUU
rnacentral:lncRNA from 1 species